rnacentral:rRNA from 1 species
UACGAAGGGGGCUAGCGUUGCUCGGAAUCACUGGGCGUAAAGGGUGCGUAGGCGGGUCUUUAAGUCCGUGGUGAAAUCCUGGAGCUCAACUCCAGAACUGCCUUUGAUACUGAAGAUCUUGAGUUCGGGAGAGGUGAGUGGAACUGCGAGUGUAGAGGUGAAAUUCGUAGAUAUUCGCAAGAACACCAGUGGCGAAGGCGGCUCACUGGCCCGAUACUGACGCUGAGGCACGAAAGCGUGGGGAGCAAACAGG